UACGGAGGGGGCUAGCGUUGUUCGGAAUUACUGGGCGUAAAGCGCACGUAGGCGGACAGGGAAGUCAGAGGUGAAAUCCCAGGGCUCAACCUUGGAACUGCCUUUGAAACUUUUUGUCUUGAGGUCGAGAGAGGUGAGUGGAAUUCCGGGUGUAGCGGUGGAAUGCGUAGAGAUCCGGAAGAACACCGGUGGCGAAGGCGGCCAUCUGGACCAGCACUGACACUGAGGCACGAAAGCGUGGGGAGCAAACAGG
rnacentral:rRNA from 1 species